UAGGGAAUCUUCGGCAAUGGACGAAAGUCUGACCGAGCAACGCCGCGUGAGUGAAGAAGGUUUUCGGAUCGUAAAACUCUGUUGUUAGAGAAGAACAAGGACGUUAGUAACUGAACGUCCCCUGACGGUAUCUAACCAGAAAGCCACGGCUAACUACGUUCCAGCAGCCGCGGUACUACGUAGGUGGCAAGCGAUGUCUGGUAUUAUUGGGCGUAAAGAGAUCGAAGGCGGUUUCUUAAGUCUGAUGUGAAAGCCCCCGGCUCAACCGGGGAGAGUCAUUGGAAACUGGGAGACUAGAGGGCAGAAGAGGAGGGUGGAAUUCCAUGUGUAGCGAUGAAAUGCGUAGAUAUAUGGAGGAACACCAGUGGCGAAGGCGGCACUCUGGUCUGUAACUGCCGCUGAGGCUCGAAAGCGUGGGGGGCAAACAAG
rnacentral:rRNA from 1 species